UGCUCAUUUACCACAUCCACCAAUAGGGAGUCAAGUGCAGGUGGGAGAACAAAAAAAUCAGAAUCUUUAAGGGGGACAUAAUACAUCUUAUCCACCUGUUUACACGAAGGCAGAAUAGUGGCAGGUGUCUGCCACACAGUCUCAGCUAUAUCUAGGAGUGCCUCACUGAUGGGUAAUGCCACUCUAGAGGGUGUUGCUGACUACAUGAUAUCCAACAGUUUGUGCUGUGAAUCCUUGAACUCUUUGAGUAGAAUCUGAAGAGAGUCAGCUACCCGCUUUAUGAAAUCUUAAAAUUGCUGAAAAUCAUCAGCCAUGGAUGAUGGUGGAGGCAACUGGUUCAACUGAAGAGGAUGAAAUAGGUGUUUGAGUGGUGGUCUUCUUAUGUGCCCCGGCUUCUUGUUUCUCAAACGUCUCCUCUUGUGGUAUUGAGGGGACUGGUUGGGGAGGAGAAGGCUGUAUAACUCUGGCCUCCCUAUAAAAUGGUACUGGUGGUCAAGCCAAUUGUUUCCAAUAGGCAGCCCCAGGAUCCAAGUAUGCCCAAGGCAAGACUCAUGUGGAAGUGGAGAUGGCAUACAGGGUUGGUUCUACCACGCUUGAUAAUGAUCUUCCCUGUGACUGUCAGAGAGUAAGUUCCUGAAGGGAUAUGCUGGAGAACCCUGAACAGAAAUAGAGGAGACUGACUGGAAGUCUCCUUCAUCCUCCUCCAUCUCAUCCAAUGGAGGAGCACUCUCAGAAAAUGGUGCAGUGUCCUGCAUUACCAGAGGAAGGUGAUCAGGAGACUGAGAUCUUCGUACUGAGAGAGACUUGGUACCCAUAAAGAGCAGGGACUUUGGUUCAUCCAUUAGAGAGGGAUCCUUUGUGCAACUGAAUGUUUGUGGUACCAAGUAGGGGAUCACUACCGAUGCAGUAGCUGAGCACACAGUUGCUGAAGUUGACAAUACCACUGAUGGUGAGUGUACUGAAGUAGAUGCUUGGUUGGUGACAAAUACAUAGGUACCAACAGCUGGUCUGAGCUUGAUGGUGCCAGUCCAGUAUCUUUUCCCUCCUUGAUGCUAGAGGGCACUGAGGUCCUAUGGGAGCCAUGUCUGUCCUUUAAGCUUUGGGACUUCACUACCUCCACAGUACCAGAGGAGAAGUCCUCCAACUCAGUGGUACCAAGUCAAGAGGUUGAGGCUUUGGAGACUGUAAAUCUCUCUGUAGAACUCUCCUGGGCUUUUUCAGAGCUGGCUCCUUAAUGUGAGACUCUGCAUUCCUCUUUUUAGAAGUCUUCAAUGAAGCCUCCAAAGUCUUCACCUUCUUAGGGGAAGCCUGUGCUGAGGCUGAAAGGGCACUGGAUCAGUUGAGAGAUAGUACUCAGGAGGAAGGAUCCCAACUCCUUAUGCCAAAGAAGAAUUAGGAACAAGAUUCACCCCCCUUCUUUGAACUACCAGUGGUGCCUAGAGAACCAGAUGCUGAACAUACAGAGAGCAAAGAUGGUUCCAACCCUAAAGAGUUUACAAUCAAUUUAUAACAUGAAAGACAACAUGUGGAUAUAACAAACAGAUGAGGAGGAGCACAAGAUAAGGAUGGAGAUCUGGCCAACGAUGGGUCAUCAGAGACUUUGGUGGGAGAGGAGUGAGUAGAAGCUAGAAAGGAGAGUCUCUGUUUACAAUGGAAGUGGAGGAAAAGAACUCCAGACAGCAAUUGCAGACAGAGUGUUCAAUGAGCCUACGAAUGAACGGAAGAAGGAAGAUGGGGUGGUAGCUGGAGAUGCAACCAGAAUCAACUAUGAGUUUUUUUAACAUGGGAGAGACUAAAGGAUGCUUGCUUGUACUGCGAAGAGAACGAACCACAGGGAAGGGAGAGAUUGAGAAGAAAGACGAGGGAGAUGAUUACAGCGUGAGCAACGGCGAUCAGGAAAUGGGAUAAGAUUGCUGGGGCAGGCGGAGGGAUUAGAGGAGAAAGA